rnacentral:sRNA from 1 species
CCCAGAGGGCCUGGAGCUGGCCCAGAAGUUGGCCGAGUCAGAAGGCCUGAGCUUGCUGAAUGUGGGCAUCGGGCCCAAGGAGCCCCCUGGGGAGGAGACAGCAGUGCCAGGAGCAGCUUCAGCAGAGCUUGCCAGUGAAGCAGGGGUCCAGCAGCCGCCACUGGAGCUGAGGCCUGGAGAGUACAGGGUGCUGUUGUGUGUGGACAUUGGCGAGACCCGGGGGGGCGGGCACAGGCCGGAGCUGCUCCGAGAGCUACAGCGGCUGCACGUGACCCACACGGUGCGCAAGCUGCACGUUGGGGAUUUUGUGUGGGUGGCACAGGAGACCAAUCCUAGAGACCCAGCAAGCCCUGGAGAGUUGGUACUGGAUCACAUUGUGGAGCGCAAGCGGCUGGAUGACCUUUGCAGCAGCAUCAUUGACGGCCGCUUCCGGGAGCAGAAGGUAAUUUUCCUGGCUUUGCCAGGCUUCCCUGCCUGCUCUGAAGCCCCCUUUUCAGCCCAGAGCAAUCCAGGGGCACUUCUGGCAGCCUCCUUGAGGCAGAGCCCUUUGGAAUCCAGCCACACCCACCCUGUGGCUGCUCCAGGAUCAGACCCCCACAGGCCCAUCCAGGCGCACAGUAGGAAGCCAGUUCCGGCUGAAGCGCUGUGGUCUGGAGCGCCGGGUAUACCUGGUGGAAGAGCAUGGCUCGGUCCAGAACCUCAGCCUUCCUGAGAGCACACUGCUGCAGGCUGUCACCAACACUCAGGUCAUUGAUGGCUUUUUUGUGAAGCGCACAGCAGACAUUAAGGAGUCAGCCGCCUACCUGGCCCUCUUGACUCGGGGCCUGCAGAGACUCUACCAGGUGAGCAGAGGCCCCUUUCCCAGUGUCGGGGCAGAGCCCACAAGGAAUUCACCUUGCCUGGGCCCUGUGCAUCCCCAAAAGAAGCAAGGUGGGUGAGAUCCCCAUUUCUCAGGCUGGCCCCCCAAGGCUGAGGACUGGGCAGGGGCUGGCUGGAGUUGUCCCUUCGAGCUCCAGCCUGGCCUCAGUCCCUUCUUCCUUCAGGGCCACACCCUACGCAGCCGCCCCUGGGGAACCCCUGGGAACCCUGAAUCAGGGGCCAUGCCCUCUCCAAACCCUCUCUGCUCACUCCUCACCUUCAGUGACUUCAACGCAGGAGCCAUCAAGAAUAAGGUACUGUCUCUGCCCAGCUUCUGAGACGUGGCCUGGCCCAGACCCCCACUGAUCCAGCCCUUCCCCGAACCCAGGCCCAGUCGGUGCGAGAAGUGUUUGCCCGGCAGCUGAUGCAGGUGCGCGGAGUGAGUGGGGAGAAGGCAGCAGCCCUGGUGGAUCGAUACAGCACCCCCGCCAGCCUCCUGGCCGCUUAUGAUGCUUGUGCCACCCCCAAGGAACAAGAGACACUGCUGAGCACCAUCAAGUGUGGGCGUCUACAGAGGAAUCUGGGGCCUGCUCUGAGCAGGACCUUAUCCCAGCUCUACUGCAGCUACAGCCCUUUGACCUGAGCUUAUGCCGUGAAACAGUCCCCAGCCCCCGUCUGUCCCCCAACCCAGGCUUGCCAGCCUUUUAACAACAUAUUUUGGGGUGCAAUUAGAAUCUAAGUGUUUGCAGCCAUAUUUGUCAUGCGGAAGAUGCCUAGCCCUGGGGACCUUGUGAAAUACGCAGGAACCAGGGAUACCAUCUGGUCCAGUGGUUUUUAAACAAAGCUGCUUAGGACCUGGAAUUCCCUGGUCAGGGAGAUGGAGUCAGUGGGGCAUUGCAGCUUUGAAUCGAUUUUAUGUCACCAGUUGGUCCUCAUCAAAUAAAACUUCCUUAGGAGUGCAGAGGGCUCAUUGGGAAAAUAAAAAUAAUAAAAAUAAAACUUCCU